GAUGAACGUUGGCGGCGUGCCUAAUACAUGCAAGUCGAGCGAACAGAUAAGGAGCUUGCUCCUUUGACGUUAGCGGCGGACGGGUGAGUAACACGUGGGUAACCUACCUAUAAGACUGGGAUAACUUCGGGAAACCGGAGCUAAUACCGGAUAACAUUUGGAACCGCAUGGUUCUAAAGUGAAAGAUGGUUUUGCUAUCACUUAUAGAUGGACCCGCGCCGUAUUAGCUAGUUGGUAAGGUAACGGCUUACCAAGGCAACGAUACGUAGCCGACCUGAGAGGGUGAUCGGCCACACUGGAACUGAGACACGGUCCAGACUCCUACGGGAGGCAGCAGUAGGGAAUCUUCCGCAAUGGGCGAAAGCCUAACGGAGCAACGCCGCGUGAGUGAUGAAGGGUUUCGGCUCGUAAAACUCUGUUAUUAGGGAAGAACAAAUGUGUAAGUAACUGUGCACGUCUUGACGGUACCUAAUCAGAAAGCCACGGCUAACUACGUGCCAGCAGCCGCGGUAAUACGUAGGUGGCAAGCGUUAUCCGGAAUUAUUGGGCGUAAAGCGCGCGUAGGCGGUUUCUUAAGUCUGAUGUGAAAGCCCACGGCUCAACCGUGGAGGGUCAUUGGAAACUGGGAAACUUGAGUGCAGAAGAGGAAAGUGGAAUUCCAUGUGUAGCGGUGAAAUGCGCAGAGAUAUGGAGGAACACCAGUGGCGAAGGCGACUUUCUGGUCUGUAACUGACGCUGAUGUGCGAAAGCGUGGGGAUCAAACAGGAUUAGAUACCCUGGUAGUCCACGCCGUAAACGAUGAGUGCUAAGUGUUAGGGGGUUUCCGCCCCUUAGUGCUGCAGCUAACGCAUUAAGCACUCCGCCUGGGGAGUACGACCGCAAGGUUGAAACUCAAAGGAAUUGACGGGGACCCGCACAAGCGGUGGAGCAUGUGGUUUAAUUCGAAGCAACGCGAAGAACCUUACCAAAUCUUGACAUCCUUUGAAAACUCUAGAGAUAGAGCCUUCCCCUUCGGGGGACAAAGUGACAGGUGGUGCAUGGUUGUCGUCAGCUCGUGUCGUGAGAUGUUGGGUUAAGUCCCGCAACGAGCGCAACCCUUAAGCUUAGUUGCCAUCAUUAAGUUGGGCACUCUAGGUUGACUGCCGGUGACAAACCGGAGGAAGGUGGGGAUGACGUCAAAUCAUCAUGCCCCUUAUGAUUUGGGCUACACACGUGCUACAAUGGACAAUACAAAGGGCAGCUAAACCGCGAGGUCAUGCAAAUCCCAUAAAGUUGUUCUCAGUUCGGAUUGUAGUCUGCAACUCGACUACAUGAAGCUGGAAUCGCUAGUAAUCGUAGAUCAGCAUGCUACGGUGAAUACGUUCCCGGGUCU
rnacentral:rRNA from 1 species